UAUACCGUGAAACUGCGAAUGGCUCAUUAAAUCAGUUAUCGUUUAUUUGAUAGUACCUUACUACUUGGAUAACCGUGGUAAUUCUAGAGCUAAUACAUGCUGAAAACCCCAACUUCGGGAGGGGUGUAUUUAUUAGAUAAAAAACCAACGCCCUUCGGGGCUUCUUGGUGAUUCAUGAUAACUUUACGGAUCGCAUGGCCUUGCGCCGGCGACGGUUCAUUCAAAUUUCUGCCCUAUCAACUUUCGAUGGUAAGGUAUUGGCUUACCAUGGUUUCAACGGGUAACGGGGAAUUAGGGUUCGAUUCCGGAGAGGGAGCCUGAGAAACGGCUACCACAUCCAAGGAAGGCAGCAGGCGCGCAAAUUACCCAAUCCCGACACGGGGAGGUAGUGACAAUAAAUACUGAUACAGGGCUCUUUUGGGUCUUGUAAUUGGAAUGAGUACAAUUUAAACCUCUUAACGAGGAACAAUUGGAGGGCAAGUCUGGUGCCAGCAGCCGCGGUAAUUCCAGCUCCAAUAGCGUAUAUUAAAGUUGUUGCAGUUAAAAAGCUCGUAGUUGAAACUUGGGUCUGGCUGGCAGGUCCGCCUCACCGCGUGUACUUGUCCGGCCGGGCCUUCCUUCUGGAGAACCUCAUGCCCUUUACUGGGCGUGUUGGGGACCAGGACUUUUACUUUGAAAAAAUUAGAGUGUUCAAAGCAGGCCUUUGCUCGAAUACGUUAGCAUGGAAUAAUAGAAUAGGACGUGCGGUUCUAUUUUGUUGGUUUCUAGGACCGCCGUAAUGAUUAAUAGGGACAGUCGGGGGCAUCAGUAUUCAAUUGUCAGAGGUGAAAUUCUUGGAUUUAUUGAAGACUAACUACUGCGAAAGCAUUUGCCAAGGAUGUUUUCAUUAAUCAGUGAACGAAAGUUAGGGGAUCGAAGACGAUCAGAUACCGUCGUAGUCUUAACCGUAAACUAUGCCGACUAGGGAUCGGGCGAUGUUCUUUUUUUUGACUCGCUCGGCACCUUACGAGAAAUCAAAGUU
rnacentral:rRNA from 2 species